ACCUGGGUGGCUCAGUCGGUUGAGUGUCUGACUUCGGGUCAGGUCAUGAUCUCACACUUUGUGGGUUCGAGCCCUGCAUCAGGCU
rnacentral:tRNA from 1 species